rnacentral:rRNA from 1 species
AGAGCGAACGCUGGCGGCAGGCUUAACACAUGCAAGUCGAGCGGGCGUAGCAAUACGUCAGCGGCAGACGGGUGAGUAACGCGUGGGAACGUACCUUUUGGUUCGGAACAACCCAGGGAAACUUGGGCUAAUACCGGAUAAGCCCUUACGGGGAAAGAUUUAUCGCCGAAAGAUCGGCCCGCGUCUGAUUAGCUAGUUGGUGGGGUAAUGGCCCACCAAGGCGACGAUCAGUAGCUGGUCUGAGAGGAUGAUCAGCCACAUUGGGACUGAGACACGGCCCAAACUCCUACGGGAGGCAGCAGUGGGGAAUAUUGGACAAUGGGCGCAAGCCUGAUCCAGCCAUGCCGCGUGAGUGAUGAAGGCCCUAGGGUUGUAAAGCUCUUUUGUGCGGGAAGAUAAUGACGGUACCGCAAGAAUAAGCCCGGCUAACUUCGUGCCGAGCAGCCGC